rnacentral:rRNA from 1 species
GACGAACGCUGGCGGCGUGCUUAACACAUGCAAGUCGAGCGGUAAGGCUCCUUCGGGAGUACACGAGCGGCGAACGGGUGAGUAACACGUGAGUAACCUGCCCCUUUCAUCGGAAUAACCAGUGGAAACGCUGGCUAAUGCCGAAUACGACCACCGAAGGCAUCUUCUGGUGGUGGAAAGCUCCGGCGGAAAGGGAUGGACUCGCGGCCUAUCAGCUUGUUGGUGAGGUAAUGGCUCACCAAGGCAACGACGGGUAGCCGGCCUGAGAGGGUGACCGGCCACACUGGGACUGAGACACGGCCCAGACUCCUACGGGAGGCAGCAGUGGGGAAUAUUGGACAAUGGGCGAAAGCCUGAUCCAGCAACGCCGCGUGAGGGAUGAC